rnacentral:rRNA from 1 species
GAUGAACGCUGGCGGCGUGCCUAAUACAUGCAAGUCGAGCGAACAGACGAGGAGCUUGCUCCUCUGACGUUAGCGGCGGACGGGUGAGUAACACGUGGAUAACCUACCUAUCAGACUGGGAUAACUUCGGGAAACCGGAGCUACUACCGGAUAAUAUAUUGAACCGCAUGGUUCAAUAGUGAAAGACGGUUUUGCUGUCACUUAUAGAUGGAUCCGCGCCGCAUUAGCUAGUUGGUAAGGUAACGGCUUACCAAGGCAACGAUGCGUAGCCGACCUGAGAGGGGGAGCGGCCACACUGGAACUGAGACACGGUCCAGACUCCUACGGGAGGCAGCAGUAGGGAAUCUUCCGCAAUGGGCGAAAGCCUGACGGAGCAACGCCGCGUGAGUGAUGAAGGUCUUCGGAUCGGAAAACUCUGUUAUUAGGGAAGAACAAAUGUGUAAGUAACUAUGCACGUCUGGACGGUACCUAAUCAGAAAGCCACGGCUAACUACGUG